rnacentral:misc_RNA from 1 species
GAUGAAGAACGUAGUGAAAUGCGAUAAUUAAUGUGAAUUGCAGAAUUCAGUGAAUCAUCGAGUCUUUGAACGCACAUUGCGCCCCCUGGUAUUCCGGGGGGCAUGCCUGUCCGAGCGUCAUUGCUGCCCUCAAGCACGGCUUGUGUGUUGGGCUUCCGUCCGUGGCAACGGGGACGGGCCCAAAAGGCAGUGGCGGCACCAUGUCUGGUCCUCGAGCGUAUGGGGCUUUGUCACCCGCUCCCGUAGGUCCAGCUGGCAGCUAGCCUCGCAACCAAUCUUUUUAACCAGGUUGACCUCGGAUCAGGUAGGGAUACCCGCUGAACUUAAGCAUAUCAAUAAGCGGAGGA